AUUGAACGCUGGCGGAAUGCUAUACACAUGCAAGUCGAACGGCAGCACGGACUUCGGUCUGGUGGCGAGUGGCGAACGGGUGAGUAAUAUAUCGGAACGUGCCCAGUCGUGGGGGAUAACGUAGUGAAAAUUACGCUAAUACCGCAUACGAUCUAUGGAUGAAAGCGGGGGACCUUUGGGCCUCGCGCGAUUGGAGCGGCCGAUAUCAGAUUAGGUAGUUGGUGGGGUAAAGGCUCACCAAGCCAACGAUCUGUAGCUGGUCUGAGAGGGCGACCAGCCACACUGGGACUGAGACACGGCCCAGACUCCUACGGGAGGCAGCAGUGGGGAAUUUUGGACAAUGGACGCAAGUCUGAUCCAGCCAUUCCGCGUGCAGGACGAAGGCCUUCGGGUUGUAAACUGCUUUUGUACAGAACGAAAAGGUUUCUACUAAUACUAGGAGCUCAUGACGGUACUGUAAGAAUAAGCACCGGCUAACUACGUGCCAGCCGCCGCAGUAA
rnacentral:rRNA from 1 species